ensembl:lncRNA
GCCCGACCCAGCUGAAGCAGCUCCCUCCCGUCCCGUCCCGCCCCAUUCCGUCCCGUCCCGUCCUGUCUCUCCCGGCCGUCCCGUCCCUGCACUCAGCACCGCUCCCCGGCACGUUGGGACCCCCGCAAUUAGCGGCACUCCCGAAGCGCUCAGCCCGGGUGUCCGCGAGUCGCUCCCACCGGAGCGGUCUGGGCCCGUGGGAAGGGCGGAAAGGCUGUCAUAGACACCCUUCUGUACCUCUCCCCUUAGCAGAACCCCGUGACACAGUAUGGUCCAUCACAUUUUAUUGCUGAGACAUCGGCAUCACAGGACAGAUCCGAGUAACACAUGCACGCAUUUAUUCUGUUUGCAGGCAUCGAGAUUUUUGUUACACAAAUAGGAAUAAUUCCCAGCGCUCAUUGUUCUGCGGCUCAAAGUGGCCACAAAGCCUUUGUAGGGCGGCAGGUCGGCACCUCCCGGUACCAGAGCCGCCCUCCCGAGCAUCGUUAACGCGGCGGUCCGUUCCCUGCGCCCGUCGGAGCGCACGGGGCCGCGCAGCCCCAGGACAGCACCUUGAGCCCCUCCCGCCCGGCCGGGGAUCGCCUCAGCCCACACCGAGAGGCGGCGAUGAAACCGGUGUCCGUCAUGUCGCCUGUUCGCUUCAAAAAGGGCACAUCCUGACCUCGCUUCCCCACGUGGAAGGUUGUCUCCAACCUUUACACAGAUGCGUCUGAACGCACAGAAACAUGCGUUUUUUCCCCUUCCAGCCCGGCUUUAUUCUCUCUCCUAUUUUCUACUUUCUCCCCUUUGGCCAAAAGGAAGCUCCCCGGGUGUCUGCGAGUGCAUGCGAAGGGACAGUAACCCCGCAGCACUCCCGAGCCACACCGGGAACCCCCCGCAUCACUUCACUCCCCCAAAAAACUGUUGAUCUCCUCCAAGUGAGAGGCUGAACCUUUCCAUUUAGGGUUCAUGGCUGCGUCGCUCCCUUCCUCCUAUCCCGUCCUUUUUCCCGAAUUCCCAGUUUGGGAUUGCCGGGGCUCCCCGAGCUGCCCCGGGGCUCAGGCAGGGGCAAAGCGGGAGUCGGGACGGUUACGUUUGGUGUCAGGCAGGGCAGGAGGCAGCGACACCGCUUCUCAGCCAACUGGACGAGGAUGGGAUCUAUUAUUAUUAUUAUUAUUAUUAUUGUUAUUGUUGUUAUUGCUAUUAUUAUUGUUGCUAUUACUAUUGCUGCUGUUAUUUACCAUUAUAGCUUGUUAUAAUUUAUUAUGAUGAUAUGCGAUUUGAAAUCAUCCAUUUGCAACUUGCAAAGCACCACUACAUUCACCUUAAACCUGCUUUCUGUCCCAGCCAAUGGUGGCAGGGGCCGGCUAGCCUGUCCCCCCGGAGCAUUAACCCUUGUCGCGAGCUGCAGAGAGAGAGGAGCUGAGCUUUGGCCCCGAGGAGCUGUGUGCAUGGAUCUGGCACAGCUUUGCUCCUUUCACUCCUGGACCUUUGUUUUGGUGGCGAGCGGGGAGAGCAGGGAGCGCUGUGCUCGCGUUUCCCUCCGGCUUACGCACACACACACACACACACACACACAUACACACACACACACACACACACACAAAUCCCCUUUCCAACUUUCUGCCUUUUGCGCUUCCCUCCCAGUUUUUCACUUCUCAGACCUACUGGCAGCAUUUGCCGAGAUCUAGAUCCCCGCCGUGGCUGAUAAAUGAACAGGUAAACAAACUAUACAAGCUAUGAUUACUUUCGAGGAAAUCUACUUUAGAACAUAUUGAUUAAAGGAAAUAUGGCUUCUGAAAAUAAGAUCACCUGGAGGAUUUUGCAGCUCUUCACACUAUACAGCAAUGGGCAGUGUAAUAGCAGCACUUUCUUUAAAUCUUUAAUACUUUCCUUUAAAAAACAAAAACAAAAAACACGGCAUUUGGAGGUACAUGUAAAGGAAGAGAUGACUGCCAUGACCUGAGACCUGAAUGUUGCUUAGAUUUGUACAAAUUGAUGGAUUUAAUUCUACUUGGACUCUUGUUAAGAUAUAGUAACACACAGUGGGUUAGAUUUUGAUUUUUUUUUUUUCCUUCCAAGUUAACACCAGUGUAAAUAGGAAACAUGCACUGCAAGUGAACAAAAUUGGAGGGGGUGGGGGGGGGUGUUUCUAUAGAAUCCAAAUGUGGAUAUAAGCAGCCACAGAUCCAUUAUCUGAAGUGGUUAUGUCAUCUUACACCAGCAGAAAACUGAGCCCACUAUAUUUGAUUCCUAAAUCUCACCUUAUAUCAGAUGUUUAAAGGUUCAGAUGGAUAAGAUAUGUCUCUGUACAGUGUGCUUUAAAUUAAAAGCUAGUGAAAAACACAUCUCUUGAUUUCUGGAUGACAGUCUUGGAAAAUGUUUCAACUGGUAGCUGCCCUUGUCCUGUUUUACUCCACCCUCAUCAAGGAAACCAGUAUCCAGCAAUGUAGGAGCUGAUAUUCUCAACAAAAACAAUAACCUCUCUUCUGUUCAUCUUCCUUGCUCUGUUUUGGUUACUGAGAGGUGGCCUUGAAAGGGCAGCAUGUUUAAGGCAGAAAUAUUUCUUGAGGCUAUGGGGAGGAUGUUCUCUUGUUUGAAGGAAACCAAGGCUUCCAACUGAUUUUAAUUUUAUUUUUAAUGUUCAUGGGAACCAGUCUUACAUGCCUGGCUGAAUUCAGACUUUGGAUUUUUGGCAGGUUUUUAUUUGAGCCCAGCUUGGCUGUUUUUCAAAAUGUCCAGAUUGCUCACAUUAAAUCUGAAUAAGCACUACCCACUAGUUUAAUCAGAGUCAUCUGGUACACCUCUAAUUAGUGUUAGUUAAAGUUGAAGUUCAUGAUAACAAAAUGUGUUAAAACAUAACACACAAAACUUAGUAAAAUCCUGAACAGAAAUAGGUAGGAGGCAAAAUCUUGUGCAAUUAUACCCCCCAAAAAUUAGAAUAUACAAGUUAUGAUGACAAUAACAUAAUGGUGAAGAAAAAAAGUAAGACCAAGUUUCUGACAAAUGUCAUGAAAGCUAGUCUUUAUCUGUUUUAUCCAUUAAAGCAUGCACACAUAUUGUAUAUAGGUGUGGAUUCGAAUCGUGAAUGAGCUCUAAUUGCUGGUCCUCAUGACCUAACAACUGGUUGUAGUUGUACACUGUGCAUGGAUUGUAAAAAACUUGUACACAUCUGUGUGUAUUUCAGAAAAUUAUCAAAUAAACAGGUGAUGUUUUUGUUGCAUCUUCAUAUGAAGUAUUUUCUUGUCUUAACAUGUUUGUGAUAAAUUAUAGGCAAACACAGUAUUAUCAUCUUUGUUUGAAAUCAAUGUAGGUUUGCCUGAGUCAGGAACAGUUAGUGCCUUACUGUGGAUUGUGAAACAAUAAAGAUUGACAGUUGUUAAAAUUGCAGAGUUAUUGGCUGCAAGAGAUCAAAAACCUGUAAAGAUCGAAACUGUGUGUGUUACAAUAGGUGCCUAUAAGGUGCUUGUUUACCUUUAAUUCUUCCCUGAAUUAUUGCCUUAGAAGAGAAUGCUUUAUUAUGUUGCAGCAUAGGCCAAUUAAAAUGGCAAAUCCCACAAUUGGAUCUCUAUAUUAACAUAUUCCUCAAAUUAAGACUUGGGGUUUUGAUUUUUCAGGUGUCAUUUCUAAAUCCUUGCAAAGUGGUGAAACACACUUGUACGUGUUACAAAGAAGCUAUGCUUUUUACAUAUAUUAUGUAAUAGUAGCGCAACAAAGCAUUUAAAUGUUUACUUGGAUUUGCUUCUUACCUGAAAUUUCUUUUUUUCUCAGGUCUGUUUCAAUUCAUGUUCUGGACAUAGAAAUGAUAUUUCUUUCUAUUUUUUUUCUGGAUACAUUUCAGCUUCACUACUCAAGGACUGAAUGGAUCAUGAUUACAGAGUUUUUUUAAGGGCAUCUGUUCUCAGCCACAGCUGAGGAUGGGGCCCAUGGAGCUGACUGGAAGGAUCCACCUAGAAUUUGUUGAAUUAAGUCCUUGCACCUGGAUAUAAUUGUCAUGCUGCUGUGCUGGGGUUUUCUUAAGCUACUGGUAAAACAAAUUAGCUCAAUUUAAACUGGCAUCCAGUAGGGAAGCAACAACUCACCUCAUAUAAUAUUUUUCAAAUAAUUAUUUUUCUAUUGCCAGUUUUGCUUCAUGAAUGUUUUCCAAAAGGCAGGGUGAAUUGUUGGGAAAUUUUUUUUUAAGUUAAGCACAAGACACAACAAAAAACAUUCUAUUCUGCAUAUCUGCUGAGUUGCAACUAAUAUUAGAGUACUGUGCGCUUAAUAAUUGUAUGUGACUGUCUUAAAUAUAAAAGCCACAAACAUAAAUGAAGGUAACUAUAGAUACAACAGGCCACAAAUACAAUAUAACAACCCUCCCCCACCCUUUCCCAAACAAUUUUCAGUGCAUAUACUUCAUACUCCUGUUGCCAGAUUUAGCACCGUAAUGAUAUAACCGCUUUUACAUUUGGGAAAAAUUCAUGGAAGUUUUUUUGGUUGAACAGUAGACAAAGGUAUUCAUUUAUGUCUGACACGGGAAUUCGUAUAAAUACCAUGGGAUCUCAUUUCCUUUUAUAGUUUAGAGCCUUUAAACUUGAUAACAAAAUUCAUAAGCUUCCUGGAAGGUCCACAAAGGCUCCUUGCCUCGGCUGCACUCGCAGUGGCAGUACUUUGCUUGAAUCCCUGGAAUGUGUGCAUCUGUGUUAGCUUCAGCUUCCCUUAAUAUCCUCCAAAUGUAGACUCCAGUGGAAAAGGAUGAAAAAUCAUUUAUUCAGCUGAGUGCUUCAGAGUGACUUCUGAAAUGGAAGAUGCAGCACUCUCUAUCAGCUUUCUACAUAGCACUGUUGUAUUUUAUUCUAUGAUUCCAUUUGGAUGGAGCCCUGGGCAAUCUGAUCUGGUACCAGAUCUGAAGGUUGGUGGCCUUGUCUGUGGUGGGGGAUUGGAACUUGAUCCUUAGGGUCCUUACCAACCCAAGCCAUUCUGUGAUGUUAUUAGGAAGUGAUGCGCUAAUCUGGAGAGGAGAGGGAAUGUGUUCACUAACUGUGGGUGGGAGCUGCUGAUAUGUCUCUCAAACUAUCCUGGUGGAGCUACUUCAGCUGCUGUCCUUGUGAGCGGGUUACGUCACUUGAUUUGCCUUCUAAGAUGCAGCACAACUGGUUAAAAAAUAACCAUUGAAUUAUAUAUCAGACUGUAGCUACUUAUUAUAUUUUAAACAAGUUUCAAAAUAUUUUGUGAGAUCAAGAAUAUAUUUUAUUUUAAUAAGUGGACUACUGAUCACCUUACAGAUUCUGGCAGAAAUAUGGAUGUUCAUAUUAUCAUAAACCAUUUUCUAAGCCAUGCUCUAUUUAAUAUUGGGUAGGCUGAAAUGCCACGGGAAUGCGAAUUAGGAGAGCAGUGCUUUUUGAAGGGUGGCAAAAUACCCAGAGAUCAAAAGUUAAAUGUGAAGUUGCUGUCAGUCCUUCAGCUGUGCAGUGAAUUUCAAAUUUUGGAAAGUAUGUGUGCAGUAGCUCCAGUAACUAGCUGAAUUGCAGCGGAUGUGGCACUGGGACCCGUAGGGAAGUGCUGGAUGCAUGGGACAGUGCGGGCUGGUGCAUGAAAUAACCCUGCCCGAAUCAUCAUCGUCUGCUUUCUGUGGAGGAGGCCACCAGAGCUGCCGAGCCCUGACUCGCUCUGCACACCCAGCGAGAAGUUCUGCUUUCAACUGUGAAUCUGAACUGCCCUGAAUCAAUGUGUAUGGGAAUGGGCAAGUUGCUUUCAUACAAUAUUCCUUUUUAUAAGCUCAUUUUUCUUGAGCUUCAGGGGAAAUAAAAAAUGUCAGUUUUCCCUCCAAGUUGUGUAAGCGCCGUGGCAGGCUGAGAGGCUGCCUCACCCCUCCCUGUGCUCCCUCUCCUGUCUGGGGUUCCAAGGAGGAGAAGGCAAAGCAAACUGAGCUCAAGGUCCUUCUUAUCCUUAUGUGACGAUAAUCCUAGGCCAGCACUUAGAGAGAAGCUUCCAGUGGGAAAUUAAGCUAAACUGAAAAGCAUAACAAAACCCAAAUCAUCUAGACUGCAAAAAUUCCUCCAGUGUUUCGUUCUUUAAUGCUUAUUAAUAGAGACAAUGCUAAACCCAAAAGGAAGCCAGCAAUAUCCUGUUCUUUUUUUUUUUUUUUUGAUAUAACAUGGAUUUUUGUUUAGUAAACUCCAUGUCAGAUCUUCUAAUUUAAUUACUGAACUCACAAUGUGGAUAAACGCACAGACAUGACUAAUAGUAUUCUCUUAUAAUUUCAUUACAGGGUAAUAGAUGUGCGGUUUAUAAAACAGAUUUUUUUUCCUCUGCUACAGAGUGUUUAUAAUAUAAAUGAACUCUCACAUCCUGCUUUCUUUCUCUCCUUACUCUCUUUUCAUUUCUUUUUAGAUUUGAUUCAUAGAAAAAUGCAAGUGAUGCGUGCCACUGAUUUGGGUCAUCUGCACGCAAUUCAAAAGGAAAAGGUGAUUUUUUUCAUUGCCUGCCAAGUAAGUGGGAGAGGUGUAGGAAAAAGUGGAUUUAUGCAUAAAAUGCAAAACUCCAGAUGAAAGAACGGACCUCUUUUAUCAUCGUAGAAAGAAUCCAUCUGCAGUAAUUACCAGUCAGGCUAUCUGCACCCUAUGUUACUUCGUGACAUCUGAGAACUGCUGCGCUCCUUGAACCAAUAGCCGUUAUAUAGCAACCAGCAUCACUCCUGAAUGAAAAAAUUGGCCCAACCACUGGUGAAUGGCACUCAGUAGGUUUCCCAUUGAACUGUGCUGCGAAACAAUGAUGCACAUUGGUAAAUCACUGUGUGUGCCUUUCAGUUCUUAUGCAUAUCCCGUACUGGACAGCUUCCAUUCACUCCGGCACCCACUGCAAACAAAUGUAACUAUGCAUCAAAGAUGAAAGUGAAAAUGCGUAUGUUAAAUCCCAAAUGGAAGCACAAGGGUGUAAUAUAUACAUAGUUGCUUAGCAACAAACAUGUUUUGGCCACAGGAACUGUGACAUCAGUCAGAGAAGCGGGAGGGAAGCUGCUCUGCCCUUCUUCUCUGCUUCCCUUCAUAAAGGUCUUUCCUUAUUUCUUUUAAAGCAGAAGAUAGAGGGCUAUUGUGGAUGUUUGUUUGCACUAUUAACGCAUCAUUUGGACUUUUCUUUGGGGAGGGAAACCUCCUUUUGCUCUGAGGAUCUGUCGCAAUGGAGCGCGCCCUCCCUCAGCCAGGUGUUCUGGUCCCGGCUUUGUGGCUCUCUGUGGGCUCCAUUUUAGCUGAAAUGCUCACUUAGGAGAAAUGAAGCGCUAAGGCCGAAAAUACAAAAUGUAGGAAUUCAACAACUAUUUUUUGGUGUCACUCACUCUGUGUCACGCCUUUCUCUUCAGCUGCUAGAAGCUCUCUACUGAUAUUUCACAUUUUUUUAGCUCUAUAUUUUUUUUCAUAACAGAAACAGCAUUUAUUUCAGUAAAUCACACAGUACCUAUGACCAGCUGAUAGACAUUCAUCAACUGCACUGAUUUUACAGAUGGUCAGAAUCUCUCUUCCCUCCUUUACUACUUUCUCCUCUUCCCUGCAUGCUAUGGGAGCCUCUGCAAUGGGAGGCAGAAGAGAGGACUGGUCAGUGUUGGCCCAAGGUACACACUGCCCAGUGCCACCUGCUGCCACUGACAUCAACCAAAGUUCUCUACAUAGCCAAUGUGCCUCAUGCUUUCAGAAGUCUGCUUUCUUCACUGGACCACAGCAUCUUCCACAUGUAGAAAUAUUGCACAUUCAGGUUCAAAUCGAUCUGCCAGCCUGGAUUGCUGUAGACAUAUCCCCGAAUACAUUACUUUAGAGUGUUUCCUUUUAAUUUAAGGUAAUGAAUGUACUUUGGCGGAUCCCCAGUGGGGGGAAAAGAACAUUUCUGGCAUGCACUUCUCUUUGCAAAGAAGGCUUUCUUGACAGUGUGAGAGACAUGUAGGAAUGCAAGAUGUAUUGAAGAACUCAAAUGAAAUUAAAAUUGUGGAUGAAAGCAGGGUUAAAGAAGCAUUAGGGUUAAAAUAAGGCCUUGAUUUUCACUCAUGGAGCUAUUAUGUAGAUAGUGUUUUACUUGCUUUCAUUUUCUGUGAAUUCACACAGACUCUUUUUUAUAUGAUAGCACAAAUCAAAUUGACAAGGUUUAACUGAUAACCUCUUGCACUUACCAUCAGAUUAAUUUUGGGAAAGAAAAUGGGUCAUUCUGAAAAUAGUGAAGAAUCUGAUAUAAGGUAUGGUGGUGUCUCUGAGGUCAAUAGAGAAGUGUGCAUCAAAACACAAGGUAAGACAAAAAGGUUAUAUGAUGAAAGGAUGGAAAACUGGAAAAAAGUAUAAUAUUGAUUCUAUCUGAAAUGAAGAACCAAGCAAAUGACCCAGGAUCUGGAUGGGGUGGUGUUCUGAAUAAGGCAUCAUUGUGGAUUGCGGAUUCUUGUCUACGUUUCCUCUCUGUGACUUAAAUCAGUUAUCCCAGAAUUUUUUUGCAGCCUGAAUGGAGUACUGUGUAGCCUGACCCUACGGAAACCAAAUUAACAUCUGGAUUUGAAGUACAUGGCUGACUCUUCAGAAAUACAAUACAUGAAACUGGGAUCCCAUAUCUGAGAGUGGUUGGCAGCUUGAGCGACGAACUGAGAUUUGUUGGCUGGGGAUCAACCCAAGAAAUUCCACCAAUAUGCUACUGUGCUGUUUCCCCUGUAAACUCUUCUUUUUUUUUAAUUUGUGAAACAAAUGACUAUAUCAGCUGAAAGGAUAAUUAAACUAACAACCAAAAUAAAUGCUUUAAGGGCCUGUCAGAUUGCCAGUAUUUUAAAUGUGAAUAAUCAAAAAUUUUAAUGGUAAUUGCUCUCACUGAGUGAAGCAGGAUUUUACAAUUCACAUUAGUUACUGAACUAUUUCCAAAUGUACACAGUUUAUCUCUGUGAUCCUAUUCUUUCAACAUAGGUUCAACCAUUUGUCAAGCAUUGGCUUUCUGAGCAGUGUAAGUUACAAUUUUAGUAAUGAAAUCAUUGUCUUCUCCUACCAUGUAGAUGGACAGGUAGUUUCUUUUUGGGAGGGUAGACAUAGCUUAAUGUUAAGCAAAGAUUAUGCAUGUACUCAUGCUUUCAGCAGUUGUGAAGCUCCAAACAAAUACAAAAUCUUUUAAAAUACCUCGAAGGUUACUGUUAAAUUUGGCUCCUAUUUUAUUCUGCCAUGGGGUACUCUGAAAGGUGGAAUAGAAACAGGAGGAAUACAGUGCUGGAAAUCACAUGAAGAUUCAAGUCACAUCAUCCCUGACAAAAUUCACAUAAUGAGGAGCAAAGUUGGAGCUAGAACUCAAGCUGAUGCUUUAAUUUUUUUGGUUGUUGUUGUUUGCCUUUGACCACAUCACCAGCUUCCCUUAGUUCAUUCCCUUUUCUCUUUGAUAGAUAGUUCUGUUCAUGGCUGCAGUCACUGCCUUGAACGAGGACUCUUUUCAAGAUUCAUCAUCUUUUCUGUGUUCUUGAUUUCAAACACUGACCCUUUUGCUUGUAGAGAAAAGCUGUGUUUUUGAUGGAAAAGAAGUCAGCACCUAUUUGCAAAAUUAAAGGUGGAAAAGAGCAAUGCAAAUUCUAAGCUGUGCACAAUGAUCUCUAGUUAUCUGUUAACCAUCUUUUAGACUGAGUGUCACUUCUGCCCCACUUCAUUGUAUUUGUUUUUGUGUCUGAAACAGCCUCUAUCACAAAAGUCAGUAGUCAUAGUCUUGACAAAACCUAACAGAAAAUGGAUGCUUUCUUGGCUGGAAAACCAUUCAUGGAAACAGUUCAAAUAGAAAUCUGCACCAGGCAGGGAGACUGGUGUCUCACUGCUUAAUGUUGGUAGUGUCCUGCAUGAGAAUAACAACAAUGCUAGCUACAUCCAGGGAAAGCUACAGGUGGAACUGGAAAUCAGACAGGAGAAGUGACUGAAAUAUGUAAUUCAACAGGUGGAGAAAGAAGUAGGUACUUACUAUAUAUACAGGAGAAAUCUGCUGCAGAAUUGCUGGAGCAAAAGCAACAUAUUUAGUUCUAAAAAAAAAAAAAGGGUGGAGAAGUUUAUAGACUCAACCUUUACUCCAAUGAAAGGAUGUUGUGAAAAAGACAAAUGUAUUACUGAGAUUUUAAUUUUUUUUAAAUUUUAUUUUAAAAUAAAGAUAUCCUAGAAGGCAGCUAUAGGUUUUUUUUGUAACUUGCUUAGCAUGAUCAAACAUAUGGGAUUACUUUCCAGAAAGGAUGUGGAGCAAUGGAGUAGAUUGAACUAAGCAGUCAGAAUGGCUGACAAGGAAACCGGAAGAACCAGGGCUGUUUAGGGCAUACAAAGAGGGAACAUAAUGGUUUUCAAAUAUGUACGAAUUUACCACAGAGAAGAAAGUAAUGAAUUGUUUAACACUUUUUCUCUGCAUUGUGCGAAAAUAUAGACUUGAAGAACUCUAAAAGAAAUCUAGGCUAGCUGUUACAAAAAGUCACGAUUAUGGAACAGAUCAGAUUGCACAGUGAAAAAGGUGUGUGUUUUCACUGGUGAAAGACUAUAAAAACAAGUUAAAUAAACAUCUGUCAAAAAUAGCAUAGCUAUAGUUGAUUUUUGACCUCCUAAAAUCUUUUUCAGCUCUGCUUUCUGUUAUUUUCUCCAAGUGGAUUCUGCUGCUUGGAUGUUUGUUGGUAAAGCCAGCAAUCAAAAUAAUAAUGUAGAAGCAGAGCCCUGUAAACACAGAGGCUCUGGUAUGGUUUCUAGUCAUGUCAUUUACCCUCUAGUGGAAAGUGCCAAGAUAUGUGCUUUGGAAGACUCGUAGGGCACAUAGCUGCAUGUCAGCCUAUUUCAAUUAGUGUGUUGAAAUGGCGGAUUACACAUCUCUAUAAAAAUUAAAUUGGUCUCAUCUCUGAAAUUACAACAAGCCUGAGGAUCCAAUCAGAAAAUCAAUUCUUGAGCACCUCAGUUUCAGGGAGGACUGAAAGGCGUUGUACCACUGUUUCUGUGCCCCACUGCUGAUUCUGGCCCCCACUCUCACGAUACCAAGCACCACAGACAAAAGAAAGCAUUACAGACAGCAAUCUCCAACACAUGUGUUAAGGGAGCUGUAAUGCCAGGGCCUGAACUGAUGAUUGAGCACCUGGUGAAGGGGCGGGCCAGCCCAGGAAGCACAGGUGCAAGCAAUUCACCCGUGCCUCCCAUGUGACCAGAAGAGGUAGGCCCAGGGCCCAUACCCACCUGAGCUCAUUUAAGGGCUAGCCUCUGAGAGAGGGUGCACGUCUCCUGGAUGAAUGCUGCUUUCUAAGGAGUGCUUUGUAGCUAUAGACGGGAUCAUCAGUUGGGUGAGUUAACUUUUCCUGUGUAUUUAUAUUGGUAGUUCUACUGAAUGCUUUGCUCGGUGUUGUUGCGAAUCGUCGGGGACAAUGUUACUGUUUCCAAGGACCAUCAACACAGCUUUCUGCUCAGUGUGUUGGCUGCUGAGAGGCUGGUUAGCACAGGGAGCCUUAGUUCUAUGGUUUCUGAAGGUAGUUUUACUGCAUGUCCAAAACUUCUGUGUGCUUCUGUGGAGCUCUGUUGCUAUUGUAGGCUGAGACUGGAAAGCUUCUCAGAUGAUCUGACUUUCAUUUCAUGCUAGUUAAUUAGUGCUGCUAUCCCUGAAGCUGCUGGUGAUUGCUGAGGUCCCUUCCACCUGUGUGGCCUUUCCUGUGGCUCUGCAUGUUCUGCUGGUGAUUGUCAGGCAGGUUUUGGACGGGCCCUGAGAACUCCUUUACUAUAUGUAGUUGCUUGUGAGGGGGCUGUUCUCUGCUAUGGUGUCCCAGCCAAUACUGGUCACAAGAAAUCUCUAGGGAAGAGCAAAUAUGGAGGUGAGGCUGGGUGAAGUUCAGGAGGACUCCUGAGGGUUAGUCCUGUGUAGGCGGAUCUAGCUCUGUCUGUGAAGGCAGUGACAUUGUUGUCUCCCCAACAUCCUUUCUAAAAGUGGUGCUCCAGGAUGUCUCACUAGCAUGUGGGUGGAUUCAGCAUUGCAUUUCUAGUGGACCAAAGUACAGAAUUCUUGAGAAAUAAGCUCAGGAGACAUUAUUUCCAUAACUCUCCUCCUUGGGACCGGAGGAAGGGGAGAUAGGAAGAUUUAUGAAAUUACAGGAAGUAAAAACAAAUUGCUGUCUUUUCUGAUACCACAUGCAUGAGCUCUGAAAGUACUGGUUUCUGGAUGUGAGCAAAUAUCAGAUAUAUUAUUAUCUCAGUAGAUUUGUUGCCUUGGCUUUUAAUUCAGUUCAUGGAUGAAUACUGAAGAAUGGGGAACAAUCAGAUAGGUGUCCUGGUUGGCGCUUCUGAAAGGAGAGGCUUGGAGGCCCAUCUAUCUGGCCUGGAUCAAAAUAUGUGUUUUUAAAUUUCCUACUAAAGGAAACUUCUGCAUUAUUUAAAGUGACAUUGAUAAGCGUGGAAGAAAAUGAAUUUUAAAUAGCAGUGUUUUGAAAUGAAAAUGUUCUUUUCAGACAAGACUAGAAUAAAAUGCUUUGAAACUCUUCUGCUUUGUUUUGUUGAAGAAGUACAGUGUUGGACGCACUCUUAAAGGAGGUUUUCAUUUUGAAAAAGUAACUUUGUCUACCUGAAAAGCAUCUCCCAGCUCUACUCAGACAGACCUACUGAUUUGUGGUAGCGAUUGUCUGAGAUGCAUAAAUCACUUGGGUACUUAUGAGUACUCUGCCCAAGAACAGAUUUAUCAUAUUUAAUGUCUUAAAUAUUUGUUGAACAACUUGCACAAAAUCCUCUGUGCAAUAAUUUUUUCCUGAUCAAUUCCGUAUUUAUAGUGUUAAUCAUUUCUCUGCAGUUAAUUAAGAGAAUUGAUGGCUCUUAAGCUUCCUUAAGCUGAUCCUUUAAAUAAGUAUAUCAAGCAAGAUCUCCAUUACCCAAAUCAGACACCAUCACAGUAGCUGUACAGAGAGCCAAAGGGACAGGAGCACAGAUCUGGAGAGUAUCCACAGGGACUUAACAAACAAAAAAGUAAUAUUUCAAGCUCAUGUCUCAGUGGAAUGGUGAAAUAAUAGCGGUAUAAUCAAGGGAGUGUUUGUGUAUACCUUACAGUUUAAAAACCUUUUGCCUCAGCCACGCUAAUGCUCUGAAACAAGGAUGUUGAUUAUAUGACCAAUUGUUUAGCAUGUGUUCCUAAACUGGUUUAUAAUUACCGAAUUAAUCUCUCUGAGGUAUUAAAAGCCUAUUUGCACAAUCUUUGUAAAACUAAAAAGGAAGCAGAGCACUUUACCUGUGUUGAUACGGAGCCCUACAAACAGCAACUAUUUGUUUUGUAGCUGUUGUGGCUCUGGGAACAAGUAAAUAUAAACAGCAGGAAACACUAAUACAGAGGCAGUGCAAUUGGAGGCUGUCAGGAAGCAGUAUGGUGGCUUCAGGAGCUGAAUUCUGCUUGAAAUAAGCUUUGUCUCAGUAUGCGUAAGAGGCUUUGGCACUGUAUCAGACCUCUGGGGAAGCCACUCAGCAGGGUGGGGAUUACUAUAGUUUGUGCUUCCCAAUUCACAGCAAACUUGCUUCCCUGUCAUACUCGUGCAUUAACUCUCUCUGUCCCACCUCGUCGCU